rnacentral:lncRNA from 1 species
GGCGGCCGUGUCAGUUUGGGGCAUCUCCGCGGUCCGGCCCGGGCCCCCGGGAUCCCGGCUGUCUUCCCCCCAGGAUUCUUUCUACUAAUCCAGAUACUUGUUGAAGUGAUGAAUAGUUUCUUGGGGAAAAAUGUGGAGGACACGUUGAACCCAUAGACUGGCUUAAGAUACUCAUUUUCUGCUUGAAGCUGGGAAUGAGAUGUAUGGAACCCAAGAGUGUGUGUGGAGUAGACACCAAGGUGUGGUGCUAGUGAGGCAUUUGAAGAUACAUCAGAAAAAGCAGCCGUUUGGUUUCUGAGGUAAAAGUAGGUUGUAAUUCUGUUUUGUGAACGGAGGGAAGACUCAGGCCAGAAAUCUUGUAUGCUAUGGUUAACUGGUUCCCACCCUCCGCGAGUCAUGUUUUCCAUGGUGUAAGACUUACUCAGCAUCAGGAUAAGGGAU